UAGGAUCAACAAUGCCUGUAGUAUUUUUUCUUUUGGGCAUGCUUAUGAACAACCUGUUGUCGGUACAACCAAUGGUAUGUGCUUCACUCACUGUUAAUAUUUGUGUUGCAGACAUCUGGCAGGGCCGCUAAUCUUCUUAAAGAAGUAUUCCAGAAUACCUAUGACGAGGCGUUAAACUGUCUCAAUACCAAUUACUAUGGAUGCAAGAGGGUAACCGAGGCUCUUCUUCCACUUUUGAAGCUGUCUACAUCAGGUGCAAGGAUUGUUAAUGCCUCCUCCCUUGCGUCGGAGCUGAAGGUGCAUCGUCUAUAUCUAUUUUUUCACCACUAAAAUUCUUGCAUUUCCACACAAACUAAGAAGACAUUGAUACUAGCAGCACUUACCGUAGCACAUGUAAUUGAUUUUGUUACCAGAGAAUGCCAAAUGAGAAGCUUCGAAAUGAUUUGUGCGACAUCAACAUCUGGGAUGAGGACCGAAUAGAAGCAGUGCUGAACACAUUCUUGGAGGACCUGAAGAACGGGCGGCUUGAAGAGGCCGGGUGGCCCAUGAUGCUGCCAACAUACAGUGUAUCGAAAAUGGUCAUCAAUCUGUACACCAGGAUUAUGGCAAGGAGGUAUCCAGAGAUGCGCAUCAAUUGUGUGAGACCUGGCUUUGUUAAGACUGACAUUUGCUGGAAUCUAGGGCUCUUGACGCCUGAACAAGGUGCAAGAGGGCCAGUCAUGCUAGCUCUGCUCCCUGACGAUGGACCAACUGGGUGCUAUUUUGAUCAGACAGAAAUGGUGAAAAUUUGGUGAUCAACGGUUGAAUGGAUCGUUCGUUGGCCAGUUUGUGUGAUAUUAUUUGCCCAGAUUGUGAGACAAUAACGGCAUCUUCAUAUCUUUACAUAAACACAAAACAGACAGUAAAAUCUUCUCAUGACCGAGGGUAAUGCCAUGAUUUGUUAGAGCAGUUAGUUUUGUUUCCACAUGUUCUUUGCUGUUCCGAUUUGGAAUAAAUUUUCCAUGUUUGUAUUCUGAACAACAAUAAAGAGUUGAGCUCAUCGAAAAGCCAAUCACAUCGAAUCCUAAAAAUAAAUAGUCGAUUUUCAUUGGGAUUGGUUUAACGUUUUUAUGUUUGAUGGUACGUAAAAUGCUGCACUUCUCUGUUUAUCUUAUUUAUUAUUACUGUGGCUUUGUUUAAAACACUGAACGUUGACAGGCCAAAAGCAGUUACCUGUUCUGUUCCUUGCUUCGUGGGCCCUGAGCAAUUGCCGUCCGGAGCGCUGCUCACCUCGGACGCCGCCGGCGGCACAUGGCUGCCCUGCCACAGAGCCCACAGCCCCGGCGCCGGCGUGCACAUUGCAGAGAGCUUAAAAAAAAGUUAGGGUAAUUGGUCGCUGAUGCGGCGGCCAAGCCCGCUGCUCAUUGCGCCCUCGCCUACCCUACCACACCCUCACAGGUGGCCGCCACCCUCUAGUCCCGCCAGAGAGCAAGACAAGAGGUAGAACACGACGACCCCGAGCCCGAGAUGCGCCACCUCGGGGCGUCCCCGAGCUCGCCUUGUAGGGUCCGAGUUCGACCCUCCGCCGCGGCACCAUUACCCCGCGCCCGUCUCCAACCGCGAGUCAGCUUCCCUGCCGGCGCUCGCCUGGUGCACGCGCGCGCGGCCGCGGGGGCGACGCGGGCAUCGCCUCCGCAGCACAGGUCUCGUCCUCUCUCCUUGCGUGCGCGCGCGGCGCGGUGUCCCCCUCCUGUUAAACUCUCCAUGGAUGUAUUGCUCUGCUAUUGUCUGCUUUUCUUUUGAGCAAGAUAAUGCUAUACAGAUGUCUGAACUCUGAACACGGCUUUUGGAUAAGUUAGUUUGCAACUUUAGAUUUUAAUUGCGGUGGUUAGUUUGCCGAUGCGGACAAGGGAGAGUGUCGAAUACAUUCAUCCUUCAACCAGCAUAUUAUUCCACACAAAUUUUCUUUCUUGCCUAAUUUGUCGAUACAUAUAGCAGGCUACACACAAUCAGUUAAACUGGACCUAAAAAGACCCAUUUGUCAGCUGAGUUUCCAGUUCGUGUUACUUUUCAUGUAUUUUUUGACAAGUUAUUUCAGGUUAUCCCACUCCCCCCGUGGGAAAAAAUUAAGAUAUUAUGAUUUGACAAUGGUUUUCGGUGAGGGUUCAUAUAAUUGGCACAAAAUAGGGUACCUUUUUAGAUUGUUACAAAUUAGAGUAAUUUUUACCUUCAUCUGCUUUUAAAUUUGUAAUCGCAGACAUUGGGAACAAAUUAGAGUAUUUUUUUGUUUUAUUUUUUUUAUCUUUUAACAUUUUUCUUUCUUAAUAAAAAACCAGCUAUGUCCCCCCCCCGGUAUUUUUAACAUUGAGGGAUAAGCGCUGCAUCAUUAAAACUUUACACUCCUGUGUUGCACCUUCUUUUUUUGCUAGGAUUUUCAGUAUCAAGUAUGUGGUUCUUGUUGGAGCCCAACACCUCCACAGCCUUCUACCUGGGUAGACUAGGACUGGUUUAUCCUAGUUCUUACUUAGGUUGCUCUAAAAUUGUUUUCUUCCAGUUCUCUUAACGCCAUCAAUGCAUUUCUAGUCACUUUGUUAUUGUUGCGACCAUGGAUCAUAAAUCAAGAUUUCUGUUGCCACUUCCCAUUUUUGUAUGCUUAGGUGCUUCUACUGCUUUACCUGAUGCAACAAAGCUCGCGUUGCUCCACAGGCUUGAUGCAGUAAGACAUGACCGGGCAGAAGUGAUUCCUGAAAGGUGAUUUUUAUAGUUUCGAAGCAAUGCUCUUCUUUCAUCGAUGAAUAUUGAUGCUAAUAUUUGGUAAACACGCCAGACUUGCAGUGGUCACAGGUGGAAACAAAGGAGUUGGCCUGGAAGUAUGCCGCCAACUUGCUCCCCAAGGUGUGACGGUUAUCCUUACAGCGAGGGAUGAGAAACGAGGAACAUAUGCUGCUGAGUCCCUUUGCCGUGAAUACGAACUCCCCAACAUAAUCUUCCAUCAGCUUGAUGUCAGAGAUGAUAAUAGUGUCACCUCAUUGGCCCAGUAUAUUGAAAGCAGAUAUGGGAAGCUUGAUAUCUUGGUAAAUCGUAGUCUAUUGACGUUGUUGGGCUGAAUGCAGAGCUAUUGGGUCUUUGGUCCUGGGGUUGAUCAUUCUUCUGUUUUGCACACCAACUAACAAGAUGUCCGUUUUCUCCACACUAGAGGCAAUAUAAUUUGGACCUAGUCAACUCAUGCUUUAUUGGACAAUUAUUGGCAUAAUGGCCUUCUUCACCGCAUCUGAAGCACGACCUUUUAAUACAUCCAUGUCGUCUUACUUGCUGCUCCCUAGUAACUCUCGAUGGAAUAACUUGUGCAUCAGGAUUCUGAUGUAGUUGCCAUGUGGAUGGUGAACAAUUUUGAGCUGUGGUUGGUGAGAACUGGGCUGAGUACUGCUUUCGAAUGGUUGUAGUAACUCCAUCUUCUCUUGACUUGCUUCCCUAGUUGGCUUCUUGGCUCGCCUACUCCUCCAGGGCUGUUAUUCUUUGAAAGAGAUACUCCAACCCUCAAGGUUCAUAGUCUGAGUACUAUCGUCACCUUGAGUAACUCCCUCUAGGACUAGCCCUUGGGCAUACAACUUCUUCUUCUUAUUGAUGUCUAGAUGGUACUGUUGUCUGGCUUCCGUUGUCAUUAGGCUACCUUCUUCCUGGAGACAUGGAAGACCAUGGUGUUCACAACAUUGGCAUGUCCCUGAAAUCUUAACAUCCUCACACUGUCUUUCCACUUCCAGCUCUGGCGCUCCACGGCUUCUCUUGUUCCUUUCAUGAUUCCAUGCUUCAACGACUUGCCUCUUCACUAGUCCAGUGGGAAUCCCAGCCUUGGUCAUCUCCAUGUUAUGAGGGAAUGAUGUGUCAGUCUGUAUCCUUCCUUGUAAGACCUGAACUUGCAUGGCUAAUAGCUUCUCUUUGUCAAACGGUGGUGAAACAGUCGGAACCUGAUGGUCAUCACUAGUAAUAGGGUUGUGGUUCCGAGGAAGUGAGGCUUGCUUUGUGAUAUACGGAUGGAUAUUGACCAUGGUUUGAGACAUUGCUUGUAAAAUCUGAGUUUGUGUUGUCAUAUGCUCUACCAUCUUGCGUUCGAACAAUGAGGCUACAGGUGGAAUGUUAUGAUCACCUUCAUUGGCUCUAUCUUCAUGAUUUUCAUUGGGAGUCGCCAUCUGGUUGGGUGAUAAAGAUAGGAUUAGAAAAGAAUAAAUAAAAUUGAAGAACAAGGUAGAGUACUUCGUGAUAUCUUCAUAUUUUCUUGGAUCAUCGUCAGAGCGAGGUAGAUGGAAGGAUAGAAAGAAGCAAGGUGGCAAAGAAACUAGAGUAGGGCUUUUUUUUCCGACAUGCUUCUACUCUGCCGGUAGUGCUGGCGAUAGCAUCUACUUCUUGACUUUGGUGUCACCUUCACUUUUUUUUUUCUUGAUGUCUGUAACACCUGCUAUUUUAGCCAUCAAAAGUAAUUCCAAAGAAAUAGAAGCAAAUCAUGAAGAAAAGGAGAAGAAAUUGGCUAAAAAUCAAAUUCGAGUCAAAUUUGACCGAAAUUUGAAUUUUGAAUUCGAAAUUCAGAAAAAUUUGGCAAAAAUAUGGAAUGGAAGGAUAAGAGUGUUUAGAACUUGAAGAUCAAGACUGGGGACAAAAUCUGGACCUAAAUAUUUCAAGAAGACCCAAAAGAAGAAAUCAAAAUAGAAGAGCACUAUUCACCAUCCGACAAUAGGAUUUCAGAAAAACAGCAUAAGAGCCCAUUUUGGAAUUUGAUUUCUGCCAAAUUUUCCAAAUAAGUGGAAUAAGGCAACUAUACAGUGAUGAAGUAUGGACUUUGGACCAGCAUAUUGGGGUGUUGUUGAUCAAGAACUACCAAGGGAACCAAUUUAAUUUAAGGCCUAAAGUUGGCACUCUGCCAUUUUCGGCCAAGUCACUAAAACAGCAAAUUGCCUAAGUCUGAAACUGUGAGAAAUGGCUGAGUUUGGAAUAAAUUUCAGAAAAAUAUAGUGUAAAGGGUAUAGGUGUUUAUGGGCAAAAUGGAAUCUUUGGAAGUUGUAGAACACAAAUGGAUGGAAGUUGGACUGAGAAGAAUGGAAUUGGUGCACGAAAAGUGAAUUAACAGAUGGGUACAUGGCCAUAUCAAAUGACUGACAAACUGAACUUCAAGUUUCAGAGUAAUUCAGUUAGAUGGGGAAAGAAUUCAAAAUUCGACUAUGUUAGGAUGUUUAUCUCGGGUCAGAGCAAAAAUAAAACUUGGAGAGUUCAAGUUUAUCUACAACAUUGCUUAAAGGACCGUGAAGCCGUUGGAUUCAAAAUCAACCGUGAUUUGGACCUGAACUUUCGGGCGUCAGAAACAAAGGAAGAGGGGGGGUGACAGAGCCGAGCACGACGUGUCGCUGCCGGCGUUCUCGGUCGAUCGCCAGCACAGCAGCUACGCCACCUCCUUGCCACGCAAGUCCAUAGCUAGACCACGGUGUCGACCAUGCGCACGGUGAAAACUUCGAAUAACUACCGCUCCCACCGCCGUGCUUACCGUCUGUUCUUUUUACCGCCGCCGCCGCCGAGCAAAUUCCCCCACCACACCGCAGCUCUUGUCGAUUCCUUCCAUCCACACCUCCACACACACCCCACCGACAACCCUAGCAGCUUGUUGCCCAGCCUCCCCGCCGGUAUACCAUAAACCGUCGUCGUUUCCGUCCGCCACCGCCGCACCUCCUGCUCACGGUGAGCACCCCCUUGCUGUCGCUGUUGUUCCUUGUGGUCAGUUUUAGGUAGGCGUCUAGGGUGCUUGGAAGCUGUAGAGGUAGUUGUCGGGGUAGGCCGAGCCGUCGUCGUGCUUAGCCACGACCGGCCGAAGGCGCCCCCAGCCGCCGCCGUGGGGAGAGUGGCUCCGGCCACCUCCCGGGGAGUUACCGCCGCGAACGGGUGCGCUAGGGCAUGGGGAUGCUUCCACGGCCUAGCCCCGUCGCCGAUGGGGCGCCGGCCGGUGAGCCGCACCGCCCCCUGUUGCGCUCGGGUUUUGGCGGGAGGAGGAAGAAGGCUCUGGUGCUGCGGGCCCGCGCGUCAAAGAGGAGAGGAGAGGGAGGAGGCAGGCCGGGCGAUGGCUUAAGUGGACCGAGGGUCCAAUCGGCCCAAGUGCCGGUGCGGGAAAGGGCCGUUGGAGGGAAAAAUGCCGGAGGCCCAGGUGGUCCAGCAAGCCAGUUUCACGGAAGAAGAGGAGGAGGAGUAGGUGCCGGUUUGAGAAAAGAGAAGGAAAAAGAAAAACGCCCAGUGAGCCCAAUGAGGGAGAAAGAGGCCGGCGGGUAGAGUGAGUAGGAGUAGGGGGUGGGUCCGAGCCUUGGGGCCAGCGCGCAAGAGAGGGGGUAGAAAGGAGGCGCAUGAGAAAAGUAGGCCGGGGAGUUUUUCGGGAAAAAUUUAGAUUUCCUUUGUAGAAUAAAUAGAUUAAAUCCGAAUCUCACCAUUUAAAUCACAGAAAUUUCUAGGGGUGUCCAAAAUUAGUGAAACCAAUUUUGUUAGGCUUAUUUUAUUUUCCUUUAUGCAUUAAAAUUUUUAUACCCUAGGAAAAAUAAUAAAAAUUUGGGUAUUUAUUUAAUACCUUUCUUUUAAGGUAUCUAAAUAAAUACUUAAUCUUUAUUAAAUGCAUAAAAUAUGGAAUAACAUUUUCAUAAUCACAAAUUAUUGUUAACUCAUAGGAAAUUAGGUUUCAAGAUUAGAAAAUAAUUAUAAUGUCUUCUAAAAAUAAAAGAAAAAGCCCUAGGUAAGGUUAGUAAAGGAAAUAAAAUUGUUGGGCUAAUCUUUUCGGGUUUUUGUGUGUUGGCUUGCAACUUUAUCAUGAUAAAUUGUAUAGUCCUUGAUGGCUUGCAACUUAAUCAUGAAGGGAAGUUGUAUAGUCUUGUAUUCAAAAAGUUGCAUUCCUAACCCCUGCAUAUGCUUUGUCAUAGACACCGAAGCACCGGAAGGGGAUUUCUCGGAAUUUUCAGAAGGAUCUCCGGAGUUCGAAGAGAUCAUUGAAUUGGUUCCCUACGAGGCCAAUCCUUCAGACAGUGCUAACUUUUUUAUAGAGCAAGGCAAGCCCCGGUGCAUUAUACCUAUUUAUUUUAGAGUCGAUAUUUCAUGUGUCCAAUUAUCGGUUAUUUGCUAUAUGAAUGCACUAGGUCUAGGAGUUGCUUGAAACCCAUUCUUGUGCAUUAUCAUACCUUGUUCUAAGGACAUCUUUGCCACUUGUUCAAACAUUUAGUAAGUAACCCAAGUCUAGAAAUGCUUAGUUGCUUAAAUAAUUGGUUUACCGAACCUUAAGGUAAAUAUUGAGUCAUGCAUGGUAUUUAUGGAAAGAUAACUUGAAGGUUAAGAAGCGGACAGAAGCUAAGGAUGUAGUUCUGUCUGCUAGAUUAAUUUGGUUAAGGCCCGAUUCGUUGUAUUAACCUUUGAUCAAGUGAAAGACAUCUGAUCACUUACUGGGUAUGGGACCAGUAAAGCCCAGUAGGUUAGUAAACCCUCUGAUCGGGAAUACUUCGUACCCGUGCUUGACGUGCUGGAGAUUGGCAGGGCGUAGCCUGAAACUCACAUGGUGAUCAGGCCAGACGUGGGGUCCCAUGUGGGGGUGUAUCCCUGGGUCUGGGUAAUCUUAUUCCCAAUCAUUGGAUUUGCUAAUCGAAAAGUCGUUACGUACGACCUGGACAAUCGUAUAUAACUGGUGAUCAGGGUACUCUCCUGCAGGAUGUAAUUUGAUCCGGAUCGCCGCAAUUCUCGGUUAUGAAUGCACUUGAUCACUGUUGAGCAUCGUAGUAUAAAUUCAUGAAUGCUAUAUCUUUCCACUAAUGUUUUGGUGUAUGACUUAAUACCUUGUUGUUUGCAAUUAAUCUUUUAUCAUCAUUUAGAAUGGUUAGGUAAUGACUUAAUCAAAAUAAAAGAUAAAGCUAAGGUCUCACUCUUAGUAAGCUCUUUUGCCAAAAAUGUGUUAGCCAAGUACACUGAAAAAGCUAUCAUAUAGUUCCACGAAAAGCUAUUAUAUUGGAUAGUCGGGUAAGCCUUGCUGAGUACCCCGUACUCAGGGUUAUCCCUUGUGGCUGUUUUCAGAAGCACCGCAGGAAUCCGCCGAGGAGGAAGCCCCGCAAAACUAGGGUAUUGUUAUGAGUCUCACAAUACCCUUAGAAGAAAUCUUGAAUGCUUAUCUUCCACCUAAACCGCUUAUGUUUAAAUCCUAGAACCUCUAUCUAACCUGCACGGUUAAGUUUAUUUCAAAUUAUGUCCUGUAAUAACUCGUACCUCAUGUAUGUAUGUAAAAAUGUAAUAUUUGUUGAUGCUUUCCCAUUGCGGAAAUAAUCCUGGUGUAUGGCUAUGAGACGUGACGUGGAUCAUUCGAGGAGUCCUAGGGACACUCGACGGACGACCGGACUUAUACUGUUUUAAGUGCGUUUCGGAUAAUUGUUGCAUCAGCAGCAAUUAGGUGCAUUUAAACCAAUUUAAGUUGGACGGUUCCACCACAAUGUCCAUCGGAAUUGGGUGAUAGAAAGAAAGGUUACAAGGAUGUGGGAGGUACAGGCAGAUUCAAAGACAGGAAAAAACAAAGAGGAGGGAGAUAACAAGAUUUUUAUAGCAGAGUGGAUAGUCUUUCAUCUUUGCUUGUCGCGAGUAGAAUUUCCCUGCUUUCUUCAUCUUUCUGGUUCUUGUAAUCAUCAUUAGAAUAAGAUGGAGAUCAGAGUAAAGCCUUCUCUUCAACUUGCUUCUAGUGAGACGGUGGUGGUGAUGUUAACUCCUGCUUGUUGACGUUGGUGUUGACUUUAGUUCCCGCUUUUCUAAUGUCCUCCAUUAGCUUGGAUAGAAAGGAAUAGAUGACAAGGAUAUGGGAGAUUCAAAAGAAGAACCCAGUUAAGCAACUGAUAUCAUUGCAGGUAGAAAACCCACAAUACACCAACAAUCAUUACAAAGAAACAAAUCAGAUAAUUUCAUCAAAACAAGCAUCAUCAUGCAAACAUAGAAUUUUCACCGAUCAACACACAGUCAAGGAACGGUACUAAACGUUGUUAAUAAGGUUGCAAGGGGUACUUCCUAAGCAGGGGUUGUUUGGUAAGGCUUCAACAUGUUUGGUGUAGGCAAUCUUUGGCUUGUCAAGCGUUGAAUUGAGCUUCUCCACAUAGUGGGGGUGAAGGUGGCUUCAGUCGCUUAGGCUUCACUUCUGGUGGCGAGCUGGUAGCUCCAUUCUUCUGGUGGCUUGGGCAGGCAUUAGGAUACGCGGUAUGGAUCAUCUAAAUAUUUUUGAAUCAAAAGGGACACUUUGGAAUCAAAAGUCAAGGGAAAGGUUUCAAGGUAGCAUUUACUCGAAAAGCAAGGAGAGGUACAAUGGGGAAGAUGGAUAUACUGAAAAUAAAAUCAAGGAGAAGAUAUGUAUAAAAGGAUAAGUAGGAGAUAAAAAAAUAUCAAGGAGUAAGGUGCAACAUUUUCACCAACAAACCAAAAGGAGGUGAGAUGCUUGGAAUAGGGAAAGUUAUUCAUCAAAGGAGAGGUAUAAUCAAGAUCAAGAAAGCAUCAAGGAGGGAGUAAGUCAAUAGAUAAGGAUUGAGGGUUUAGCAAUAGCAAAACAAGGUGGGUGUAAAGGACUAAGAGUCAAAGUUGAUCAAAAAUAAGCAACCAAGGUGUAGAUAAGAUGUACAAGGAGUGAGAAUAGUCAUCAGAGAGUUCAAGGAUAAGGUAAGAAUUAUUUUUAUAGAAAAAUAGACCUAAGGAAGCGAUCGUUGCUAUCUAGGCUUAUAUCCUAUAGUCGAUAUAGCUCUGAUACCACUUCUGUCACACCUGGUUUUAAGGACAAAAUCAAGUGCUACCUAUAUGUAUGUCAGGAUCAAGUUUCAUACAUAUAGUGACAUCAUAAGUGAAUAACAGCAACAGUAUCACGUAAAAAGAUACGAAUAAAGACUUACGAAACCAUUAAAGAUAUACAACUUAAUUCCGGAAACGGAGGCUCCAAACUUCACAGGCAAUCGACUGGGGGUUGCGUAUGCCUAGAACUCAGUAUCAUCUUCGAAAUACUUCACACACCUUCUUCUGAGCAGCAGUAAGCAAGGGUGAGUACACUUAUGGUUGGUACUCAGCAAGGCCACUAGAAAUAACUAGGAUUAACGAUUUAAGUCCAUCUUCAGGUUUAAUUAAUCAUGUGAGGGUUCAGGCUGCUCUUGACCGUGAGCACGGCUGAUCGAUUAGUUUUACACUCUGCAGAGGUCGCACAUCUUUACCCACAAGUCGCGUAAAAGUUCAAAGAACUUUGGACCCAACCAUGCAGCGUGAUCAGGCACCAUACCACACUUCCGAGGUGUGAUUGCAUAGGGACGCUACGAGGCCUUUACAAAGAUUCGCUAGUAAGUGGUAACCCGCUAAGGUUUCAGGUCGAAGCAGAGCAUAACAGUCCCCUAGUGGGUAUAGUGUCUUAGCAAAGCCCACUUCCCAAGAGAGCGAGUGCUAUACCCCGUCAACGCACUCCCCUCUUGCCUUUUCGGUAAGAUUACCCCAGACUAGAGUUUCUAAUAAUUCAGCCAAGACCAGAGCCAUUUAGUCUUGUGGUAGCACUGUUUUCCUGGGUGGUUCUCCAUGUUCCAAUUAAGCAUUAUAACCAUGGUAUUGUGAACAAAGCAUAGGUAGAAGGAUGGUUAGGGACACUUGCCUUUCUCCAAUAGAAAGUUACUCUUACUGCUCUUCAGCUAUUACUCUCUUGAAACUCUUACUCCUCAAAACCUUCGAACAGCGAUCCUUCUACUCGAAGCAAUCACCGGCACAAACAUACAAGCAAACAGACAUGUAUAGCUAAGAACAAUACACCAAAAUAAAAUAAAGGCUUUAAAGAGCGUACUUGAUUCUAGGAUUACUUGAACGUAGGAAACGCUGAGAAUGGAACUAUGGUUGAAAAAAUAAAGCUAUAGAGAGUUUUGAAUUAUAAAAGAAAGAUCAAGAGCUACAAGCUUCAUUUAUUUUAGUUGAGAAAAGCAAUGUAAAGAUAUUUCAGAGAAAUAUCCUUAGUUAGAAUUAAUCAAAUCAUAUUUAUAUUUUCAUAAGAAAAGACGAUGUAAAGCUUAGUUCAAUCUUAUUUAUAAAUAUUUAAGUACAAUUUAUGUAAAUUAACAUUUGAGUUUAGAAGAAGCAUGUAAAAGCAUCUAAGCACAUAACUUUAUAUUCUGAGUUCAACUAGCAGAUUAUUUUAAAAACACAUUUAUAUUCAUAUUAGUCAAAUUAACAUUUAAUUUAUGAAAAAUCGAGAUAUAACCUAUGUAGCUUUUAUUUAGAAAGCAAAUUGAAUAAACAUUAAUCAAAUUGACAUUAGUUUAUGAAAAAUCGAUAUGUAACCUAAUUGGCUUUUAUUCAGAAAAGGAUAUGAAAUAAGCAUUAACCAAAUUGAUGUUUAUUAUGAAAAGCAGUGUAUAACUUUUAGUAGAUUUUAUUUAGAGAAGACGCAUGUUUAUCAGGCAUUAAUCAAAUUAAUAUCAAGUUUAUUUUUAAAAAUAGGCGUGAAGGCAAACAUCACCACUAAUGUUUAAUUUAUGUCAUCAUGAACCUAACUCAACUUGAACGGAUUAAAACGGAGCUAAAACGUAAAAUCUAUGGGUUAUAGAAGGUUGCAGGGGUCUAACGUAAUUAACCGUAGACUUGGAGGGUUAGCUGAGAAGAUACCAAGACUCAGAGAACAGGACCCGCGAAAAGCUGAAAAGCUGGGGUUAGAUCUGCAAAAGAUGAGGACUUGGGCUGGAUUGGAAAGAUCAGAUAGAUCCAGGGGUUAUGCGGGAAACACACAAUUCAUCUUCAAGGGCCUGGACGCAAAAGCUCCAAAUCAUCUUCAACCUCCCGAUGGGGGAGCUCUGGCCGGCCUGUCCGGUUGGCCAGUCCCGCCGGCAUCGGGCUGAUGGCGCUGGGCGACGGGGCGUGGCGCAGAGGAGGGGGCUCGGUGCGCGGGCGGCUGGAGGCGGCCAGACCGACGGCGCGCGGUCAGGCUGCGGCCGGAAAACAAGCGGACACCGGAACGGGCGGCGCCGGCUUGAACUCCGCGGCGGCGGCUCCGGCGUCCGAUUCACGACGGGAACCGGCAAAACGGACUCGGCUCGGUGAGGGGAAUCCCGCAGGUGGCGUCGAUUUGGCUCCGGGAGCUCCUGGCCGGGGAAAUCGGUGAAGACCGGCGGCGGCGCUCGGCUUCGUCGAGAACCGCUCCUCGCGGCGGCGCGACCUGGAGCUCUGGCGGCGCGAUAGCCAGGGGGCAGAGGGGCGCAUGGCGCUCUAGGGUUUCGCUAGGGCUGCCCUUUAUAUGGCGCGGAAGCCGAGGGAAGGCAGGCCGGCGGUGCCCCCAUGGCCGGCCUGACCUUGGAGCAAGAACGGGCCGCGAUGGGCUUUAUUGGGCUGGAGCGGGCCGAGCGGGCCGGUUGGUAGGGUAUCUUUCACCCACUGGUCAGCGCAUCUUCUUGCAGUGCCCGGCUCCGGCCCCGCUGAACUCUACUCCUUUCCCCACAACAACUGCGUGUCCGAUCGGAUCCCACCUCAUGGAGAAAGCAGCGCAAGCUGCCACCGGCGGGACGCAGGGCUCACCUCAGCACAGGUUUAGAAUUAACCCCCUUCCCCCUCUUCCUCAUCGAUCCGCCUGGCUGCUCGCUUCAAUGNNNNNNNNNNNNNNNNNNNNNNNNNNNNNNNNNNNNNNNNNNNNNNNNNNNNNNNNNNNNNNNNNNNNNNNNNNNNNNNNNNNNNNNNNNNNNNNNNNNNGUGGGGGGGGGGGGGGGGGGGGGGGGGGGGCGCGAACAGUUCAGUCAUAUCUUGGUCUCAGCCAAUAGUCUGUCUGCUAUUUGAGUGACUCUAUAAAUGUGAGAAAAUACAUAUUCUGCUACCAGGUUACUUGAGCAGUUGUAAUGAACUACCACCAACCUGCAGGGCCCAAUUUUCUUGUCUACCAUUUAUUUUCCUUUCAGUUCUCUUAGUGAUAUUAAUGAAUUUCUAGUCAGGCUCUCAUUGUCAGCGAUAGGAUCACAAAUCAAGAUUUCUACUCCCUCCCACUUCCCAUUUUUGCAUGCCUACGUGCUUCUACUGCUUUACCUGAUGCCACAGGCCAACAAACUCAUUUUGCUCCACAGGCUUUGCGCAGUAAGACAUGACCGGGCUGAAGUGAUUCCUGAAAGGUGAUUUUUACAGUUUCGAAAAGCAAGCUGCUCUUUCAUCGAUGGACAUUGAUGCUGAUAUUUGGUGAAUACGCCAGACUUGCGGUGGUCACAGGUGGAAACAAAGGAGUUGGCCUCGAAGUAUGCCGCCAGCUUGCUCUCCAGGGUGUGGCGGUUAUCCUUACAGCGAGGGAUGAGAAACGAGGAAAAGAUGCUGCCGAGUCCCUUCGCUGUGAAUCCGAACUCACCAACAUAAUCUUCCAUCAGCUUGAUGUCAGAGAUGAUAAUAGUGUCACCUCAUUGGCCUGGUAUAUUGAAAGCAGAUAUGGGAAGCUUGAUAUCUUGGUAAAUUGUAGUCUGUUAUUCCUAGUAUUAAAUGGCACCUCUUUGUGUCUUUUGAGAAUACAUAAAUGACAGUACAAUGGGUGAUACAGGUGAACAAUGCAGCUGUUUUAGGAAUUGUAGCAGAUGAGGAAGGCCUGAAAGCUCUCAACAUUGGUGCAGAGACCUGGGUAACACAAUGCGCUUGUUCUUUAGCUUUCAGCUGCUUAUCUAUUUGAGCUGUUUACUUUAGAUUCAGAAAGCUAGCUUUUUCACUAGGAUCAACAAUGCCUGUAGUUUGUUUUCUUUUGGGCAUGCUUAUGAACAACUUGUUGUCGGUACAACCAAUGGUAUGUGCUUCACUCACUGUUAAUAUUUGUGUUGCAGACAUCUGGCAGGGCCGCUAAUCUUCUUAAAGAAGUAUUCCAGAAUACCUAUGACGAGGCGUUAAACUGUCUCAAUACCAAUUACUAUGGAUGCAAGCGGGUAACCGAGGCUCUUCUUCCACUUUUGAAGCUGUCUACAUCAGGUGCAAGGAUUGUUAAUGCCUCCUCCCUUGCGUCGGAGCUGAAGGUGCAUCGUCUAUAUCUAUUUUUUCACCACUAAAAUUCUUGCAUUUCCACACAAACUAAGAAGACAUUGAUACUAGCAGCACUUACCGUAGCACAUGUAAUUGAUUUUGUUACCAGAGAAUGCCAAACGAGAAGCUUCGAAAUGAUUUGUGCGACAUCAACAUCUGGGAUGAGGACCGAAUAGAAGCACUGCUGAACACAUUCUUGGAGGACCUGAAGAACGGGCGGCUUGAAGAGGCCGGGUGGCCCAUGAUGCUGGCAACAUACAGUGUAUCGAAAAUGGUCAUCAAUCUGUACACCAGGAUUAUGGCAAGGAGGUACCCAGAGAUGCGCAUCAAUUGUGUGAGACCUGGUUCCGUCAAGACUGACAUUUGCUGGAAUCUAGGGCUCUUGACGCCUGAACAAGGUGCAAGAGGGCCAGUCAUGCUAGCUCUGCUCCCUGACGAUGGACCAACUGGGUGCUAUUUUGAUCAGACAGAAAUGGUGAAAAUUUGGUGAUCAACGGUUGAAUGGAUCGUUCGUUGGCCAGUUUGUGUGAUAUUAUUUACCCAGAUUGUGAGACAAUAAGGGCAUCUUCAUAUCUCUAAAUAAACACAAAACACACGGUAAAAUCUUCUCAUGACAUGUUCUUCUCAUGACACAAAACACACGGUAAAACACACGGUAAUGCCAUGAUUUGUUAGAGCAGUUGGUUUUGUAUCCACAUGUUCUUUGCUGUUCCGAUUUGGAAUAAAUUUUCCAUGUUUGUAUUCUGAACAACAAUAAAGAGUUGAGCUCAUCGAAUCCUAAAAAUAAAUAGUCGAUUUUCAUGGGGAUUGAUUUAACGUUUUUAUGUUUGAUGGUAGUAAAUGCUGCACUUCUCUGUUUGACAGGUCAACAGCAGUUGCCUGUUCUGUUCCACCGAAAAAUCAUCCAACCUUCGCCAAAGCCUCUCCUCUACUUGGUUCACUGCUUCGUGGGCCCUGAGCAAUUGCCGUCCGGAGCGCUGCUCACCUCGGACGCCGCCGGCGGCACAUGGCUGCCCUGCCACAGAGCCCACAGCCCCGGCGCCGGCGUGCACAUUGCAGAGAGCUUAAAAAAAAGUUAGGGUAAUUGGUCGCUGAUGCGGCGGCCAAGCCCGCUGCUCAUUGCGCCCUCGCCUACCCUACCACACCCUCACAGGUGGCCGCCACCCUCUAGUCCCGCCAGAGAGCAUGACAAGAGGUAGAACACGACGACCCCGAGCCCGAGAUGCGCCACCUCGGGGCGUCCCCGAGCUCGCCUUGUAGGGUCCGAGUUCGACCCUCCGCCGCGGCACCGUUACCCCGCGCCCGUCUCCAGCCGCGAGUCAGCUUCCCUGCCGGCGCUCGCCUGGUGCACGCGCGCGCGGCCGCGGCAGCCGCGGGGGCGACGCGGGCAUCGCCUCCGCAGCACAGGUCUCGUCCUCUCUCCUUGCGUGCGCGCGCGGCGCGGUGUCCCCCUCCUGUUAAACUCUCCAUGGAUGUAUUGCUCUGCUAUUGUCUGCUUUUCUUUUGAGCAAGAUAAUGCUAUACAGAUGUCUGAACUCUGAACACGGCUUUUGGAUAAGUUAGUUUGCAAGUUUAGAUUUUAAUUGCGGUGGUUAGUUUGCAGAUGUGGACAAGGGAGUGUCGAAUACAUUCAUCCUUCAACCAACAUAUUAUUCCACACAAAUUUUCUUUCUUGCCUAAUUUGUCGAUACAUAUAUGUUGCAAACUAUCAAGUAAUAGCCACGUGUAUAACAGGCUACACACAAUCAGUUAAACUGGACCUAAAAAGACCCAUUUGUCAGCUGAGUUUCCAGUUCGUGUUACUUUUCAUGUAUUUUUUGACAAGUUAUUUCAGGUUAUCCCACUCCCCUCCGUGGGAAAAAAUUAAGAUAUUAUGAUUUGACAAUGGUUUUCGGUGAGCGUUCAUAUAAUUGGCACAAAACAGGGUACCUUUUUAGAUUGUUACAAAUUAGAGUAAUUUUUACAUUCAUCUGCUUUUAAAUUUGUAAUUGCAGACACUGGGAACAAAUUAGAGUAUUUUUUUUGUUUUAUUUUUUUUAUCUUUUAACAUUUUUCUUUCUUAAUAAAAAACCAGCUAUGGCCGCACCCCCCCCCCCCCCCCCCCCCCCCAAAAGACCACUUCCUAUGUAGCCGUGAGGGAUAAGCGCUGCAUCAUUAAAACUUUACACUCCUAUGUUGCACCUUCGUUUUUUGCUAGGAUUUUCAGUAUCAAGUAUGUGGUUCUUGUUGGAGCCCAACACCUCCACAGCCUUGUACCUGGGUAGACUAGGACUGGUUGAUCCUAGUUCUUACUUAGGUUGCUCUAAAAUUGUUUUCUUCCAGUUCUCUUAACGCCAUCAAUGCAUAUCUAGCCACUUUGUUAUUGUUGCGACCAUGGAUCAUAAAUCAAGAUUUCUGUUGCCACUUCCCAUUUUUGUAUGCUUAGGUGCUUCUACUGCUUUACCUGAUGCAACAAAGCUCACGUUGCUCCACAGGCUUGAUGCAGUAAGACAUGACCGGGCAGAAGUGAUUCCUGAAAGGUGAUUUUUAUAGUUUCGAAGCAAUGCUCUUCUUUCAUCGAUGAAUAUUGAUGCUAAUAUUUGGUAAACACGCCAGACUUGCAGUGGUCACAGGUGGAAACAAAGGAGUUGGCCUGGAAGUAUGCCACCAACUUGCUCUCCAAGGUGUGACGGUUAUCCUUACAGCGAGGGAUGAGAAACGAGGAACAUAUGCUGCUGAGUCCCUUUGCCGUGAAUACGAACUCCCCAACAUAAUCUUCCAUCAGCUUGAUGUCAGAGAUGAUAAUAGUGUCACCUCAUUGGCCCAGUAUAUUGAAAGCAGAUAUGGGAAGCUUGAUAUCUUGGUAAAUCGUAGUCUACUCCUAUUCAUAGUAUUAAAUGACAUCACUUUAUCUUUGAGAAUACGGAAGUGACGAUACAAUGGUUGAUACAGGUGAACAAUGCAGCCAUUACAGGAAUUGUAGCAGAUGAGGAAGGCCUGAAAGCUCUCAACAUUGAUUCAGAGACAUGGGUACUUAGAUUGUUCAUUAGCUUUCGGCAUCUUAUCUAUCUGUGCUGUUUACUUUGGUUUUAACCAGGAUCACCAUUUGUGGAACUCACACGCACUUGUUUGUAGGAGAUAAACAAGAAGCACUUCAGAUUUUUUGUGGUGCAGAACUAGAACCACUUUCUCUUUCUCAUAUUUACAGGGCUCACCUAGUUGAUUUAACCCUAGAGCAACUUGUGUACAUAAUCAGCAUGUUUCGAGUUCACAUUGACCUCGAUAUACUACUUGACUCUUUAAGUAACACAUGUCUCCUUUACUUAUGUACACAUGUCAAAGAGCACGCUCCUCAUGUUCAAGCUAAAGCUAGACAACAAGAUUAAUUCUAACACAGAAUGCAUCUAUAGUCUUUUGGAGUCAGAAUCUCAAUGCAUGUUUUAAUUGCUUUGUGUUUUGCGAGAACUUUAUUAUGGAUGUCUGUAGAAUUUUUUGUUGGCAUGGCUACAACCAAUGGUAUGUGCUUCACUCAUUAAUAUUUGUGUUUCAGACAUCUGGCAGGGCCGCCAAUCUUCUUAAAGAAGUAUUCCAGAAUACCUAUGAUGAGGCAUUUAACUGUCUCAAUACCAAUUACUAUGGAUGCAAACGGGUAACAGAGGCUUUUCUUCCACUUUUGAAGCUAUCUACAUCAGGAGCAAGGAUUGUUAAUGCCUCCUCCCUUGCAUCCGAGCUGAAGGUGCAUCAUCUGUAUUCUUUUUUUUUUCACCCCUGAAAUUCCUGCAUUUCCA
rnacentral:lncRNA from 1 species